rnacentral:rRNA from 1 species
AAAAAGCUUCCGUGGGUGAACCUGCGGAAGGAUCAUUACCGCUUGCCCGAUUGACUGUACCGUAUACCUAACCUCCGGGUACGACUCCGCAGCAGUGUACAGUAAGUACCAGGACGCAAGGCCAACUGAGAGAUGCGUUCCUAGCUUAGGGUAUGCUCCCAGAUGACUACGGGCGACUAUGCAGAUAUUAACAUUACCUGGAUUUUCCAUAGGAGGGGCACGCUAAGAGCGAGGAGGCUGGUAGCGUCCCUCACCAUAUCGCAGUGAGUUUCAGGAGCGGCUUGGCUACGAGCCAUGAGUCCCUAGCGAGUAGCUGAUAUCGGAAAUAGCCAUCACGGAUCGUCACGUACCUGCAUGCGCCCGUACGAUCGGAAUGAUACCGCUCCUCACCGGCAUCUCAAACACCGUUCCUGAGCGGCGCACGAUACCUGGACUGGUACGCGACGUGGUCAGAGAUACUCACCGCAUGCGCUCAUGCAAGCGGGGAAUGGAGAGCUCGUAGGAAGCCAGCUCCCGUGACCGCUCACCCCACCCGGGCCCGAAACCUCAGAACCUCUACCUCAAGCGCGGUGUGGCGGCUUCACCCCGGUCGCCCUCUGUCCGCCUCCGGGUACCCAACUCUCCUCUCCCCUCCGGGGUUAGGAGGGGGGUCCAAUGUCUCCUCCCCCGGUCUGUCCCCCACGCCCUGACAGGGGCUUAGCGGGAUGGAGCAUUACCCGUCAAACCAUGUCAAACCCCCCCUCAAAAGAGGUAAACCCAAACAACUUGACAACUCCUAGCGGUGGAUCACUCGGCUCGUGCAUCGAUGAAGAACGCAGCAAGCUGCGAGAAGUUAUGUGAAUUGCAGGACACAUUGAUCAUCGACACUUCGAACGCACCUUGCGGCCCCGGGUUGCUCCCGGGGCUACGCCUGUCUGAGGGUCGCUUUGACAUCAAUCGGAAAGGCAGCUCUCCCUCGCGCCUUCCCGCGGCUGAGGCCGUCGCAGGCAUCCGUUGCCUUCGUCCCCCUAAGCGCUGACGGCUGGGGAGACGCUCGGCCCCCUAGGUUGCGGUGGCGGUGAGGAUUGUCCGGCCCCCCGCCCGUCCGUCUUACCAGUUGGGCUCCAGUUCUCCAGUUCUUCACUGCAUCCGUCUGGGUAACCAAAAUCACUCGGGGGAAGGGGCGCCCCGUCGGGCCCCGCAUGAGUCGGGCGCGGCUGCCGGUGGACAGACCCUGUCUCUCCGCGCUGCCCGCGUUACGCGUGCGACCCGGUUCCGACGGGAACGCUGCGGCUGGGAGUCCGAGGUUCGGGGGUCGCCCUCGGUGUUUGGGCGGUCGCGGCGCAGGGGAAACCCAUCGGUUCGACGUGGCGAACUCCUCCGCCGGAGGCGUUACGGCCCCCCCAGGCCAUCCCGGAGCGCGUGAGCCCCCCCUUCCACUCGUGGGACGGGGG